UUUCAAAAGUGCUGAACAAAUAGUUAUAUUGACUACAUCCGUCCUAGCUCGCUCAUUAAUGUCUUAAUAGAUAUUACGGAUUGCCUCUUAACCGCUUGUCGUCCCCUUUGUCACAUCUGCUCCCACUACGCCCUCUGGUGUUCAUCCGGUGUCGUCCUAACCUGCAGUUCUCCCCCUGUAUACACUCUCUCUCUUGGUGUGAUUGUGUGGUUGGAGACAGGUGUGCUGGAGUCAGAGCAGAUCCCUACCAGCUGCAAAUCGUCCCAUAAAUCAAGACCUCUACAUAUACUCAUUCUUGCCACCUCCACUCUGCUAGAUUGUAAUCUCUGCUUAUUACCUCUCUUGCUCCUGUUCCACAUCUCACCACCUUCCUCUGGAUAUCACUCACCACCAUUACCUUGGAUUCCCCUCAGGACCUGUUCCCCUGUUCUACUCAGCCAACUUGAACCUCACUCUACACUCCUGGUUUUUGCAACUCGUCUGAGCUACACCGGUUCUGCACUCCCCAUUUCUGUGUUCAAAAAAAAUAAUUGCAUUCAUCCCGGCUUCCUCUUCUGAGUCCGCUCUUGGGUUCCCCCCUUCGCUCAUCGUAACACCCUUUAUGCCAUAGCUUGUACAUCUCAAUUGUCAGUAGAAACCACAUUUGAUUAAGCAAGUCAGCCAUAUCAGCUAUGUUUUUUUUAUUUUUUAAAGGCAACAAAUGAAGCUGAAUGAAUUGUUUCGCUGCCAGGCAAGGCUCUGUUGAUACCAAGGUGUAGCAGUGGUAAGGUGUUGGGACUGCUGUUGGGACUCUGCUGUUGGGACAGCUUUAUGUAGGCCCUAACAGUUUGUGGACACUGUUUAUAACCAUUAUAGUGCAAUUAAUGUAUUGUUUAGAGUUAUGUUGUAUAGUGGUUUUGCUUGCAUGCAUACCACCACUUUUUUUUUUUUUUGCCCCACCAAGAUUGUGAUGCUAAAAUCUCCACUGCAUUUAGCUAACAUUACAUAGUUCAUCCAGCGAUUCUUACCUUUGCCUCAAUUCGGCAGUCUCGUCCAGAUCAUGGCAUUUGUAGUUAUUUAUGAUAGCCACAUUAUCAGCUAAUUAACAUUUAAUUUGCUGGGGGGUAAAUACAGGUUAAAUAUAAUAAUUUACUUUUGUUUUAUCAUCUUGUGGUACAAACAUAAUGAACAUCAACAUGGGAAACAUGAUAUGCAGUUUAAGCUAAUAAACGGUGGGCAAAUUAUGUUAAUUGUGUUGAAAUGUUCAUAGAAAGGGCCUGAGCUCAAAUGCAAUAUUCAAACCACUAGAG
rnacentral:lncRNA from 1 species